GUACUAGAAUGAAUGGUUUAACAAGAAAAAUUAUUUUAAUAAUAAAUAAAUGAAAUUGAAUUUUAAGUAAAAAUGCUUAAAUAAAUUAAUGGGACGAUAAGACCCUAGAAAUUUUAUUAUUUAAUUAUAUUUUAUACUUAUUUAAAUAAAAUAUUAUAUUUAAUUUAAUUGGGGAAAUUAUUUUUAUUAAAUAAAAUUAUGAAUUAACCUUAUUUAAGCAUUUAGGUCCUUAAAGGAUAAUUAAGAUUAAUUACUUUAGGGAUAACAGCGUUAUAAUAUUUAAGAGUUCUUAUCUAUAUAAUUUUUACGACCUCGAUGUUGAAUUAAAAAAAUCUGAUUAAAGCAGUAGUUAAUUAAGAAAGUUUGUUCAACUUUUUAUUUGUUACAUGAUUU
rnacentral:rRNA from 1 species